rnacentral:rRNA from 1 species
CUACACAGCCAUGCCACCCUGAACAAGCCUGAUCCCAUCUGAUCACCAAAGUUAAGCAGGGCUGGGCCUGGUUAGUACUUGGAUGGGAGAUCACCUAGGAAGGCCAGGUGUUAUAGUGU